UCGUCUAAGGUCCCGAAGCGUGUGCUAAGUGGGAAAGGAUGUGGAGUCGCAUAGACAGCCAGGAGGUUGGCUCAGAAGCAGCCAUCCUUGAAAGAGUGCGUAACAGCUCACUGGUCUAGUGGUUCCGCGCCGACAAUGUAGCGGGGCUCAAGCACACCACCGAAGACGCGGCAACAGUUUUUGCUGUUGGGUAGGAGAGCGUCCCGCGUGGGGCGAAGCGGCCGGGGAACCGUGCCGUGGACCGCGCGGGAGUGAGAAUGCAGACAUGAGUAGCGAGAGACGGGUGAGGAUCCCGUCCGCUGGAUGACCAAGGGUUCCGGGGCCACGUUCGUCGUCCCCGGGUGAGUCGGGUCCUAAGGCGAGGCCGACAGGCGUAGUCGAAUGGAUGAACGGGUGGAUAUUCCCGUACCGGCGGCGUACCGUAAGAGCCGAACGGAUGAGUACUAACCUCCGGUCGCGUGGCGUCGUUCCCUUCGGGGUUCGGGGCGCGUGGCUGUUGGGAGCGUAGUCCUGGUAGGCUAGCGCACAGGGGUGACACGGAAUGGGAGCCGGCCGCGGAGGUGGUUUUCCGUGGUCAAGCACGCAGCCCGUCCCAUAGGCAAAUCCGUGGGACGCAUAGGGUGAGGUGUGAUGAUGGGCGUCUUUUAUGGCGCGAUAUCCGGUGGUCCAGGCCGUCGAGAAAAGCCUCGGCGCGAGGGGCGUCGCCGCCCGUACCCCAAACCGACACUGGUGGUCAGGUAGAGAAUACCAAGGCGAUCGAGCGAAUCCUGGUCAAGGAACUCGGCAAAUCACUCCCGUGCCUUCGGUAUAAGGGAGACCCCCGGGCGUGAAGAGGCUUGCCCUCGGAGCGUUGGGGGGUGGCACAGACCAGGGGGUAGCGACUGUUUACCAAAAACACAGGUGCAUGCGAAGGCGCAAGCCGCUGUAUAUGCACUGACGCCUGCCCGGUGCCGGAAGGUUAAGAGGAUCCGUCAGCCCCUUUUGGGGUGAAGCGGUGAAUUCAAGCCCCGGUAAACGGCGGUGGUAACUAUAACCAUCCUAAGGUAGCGAAAUUCCUUGUCGGGUAAGUUCCGACCUGCACGAAUGGCGUAACGACUUCCCCACUGUCUCGACCAGGAGCUCGGCGAAAUUGCAGUACGAGUAAAGAUGCUCGUUAAGCGCAGAAGGACGAAAAGACCCCGGGACCUUUACUAUACCUUGGUAUUGGCGUUAGGCGCGGAUUGUGUAGCAUAGGCGGGAGGCUUCGAAGCAUGGGCGCCAGCCCGUGUGGAGCCGCAAGGUGAAAUACCGCUCUGUUCUCGUUUGACGUCUAACCUCGAACAGUCAUCCUGUUCAGGGACAGUGCCUGGCGGGUAGUUUAACUGGGGCGGUUGCCUCCCAAAGAGUAACGGAGGCGCUCAAAGGUCCGCUCAGCCCGGUUGGCAAUCGGGUUUCGAGUGUAAUCGCACAAGCGGGCUUGACUGCGAGAACGACGGUUCGGGCAGGGACGAAAGUCGGAGAUAGUGAUCCGGUGCCGGCGCACGGGCGCGGCAUCGCUCAACGGAUAAAAGGUACCCCGGGGAUAACAGGCUGAUCAUUCCCAAGAGUCCAUAUCGACGGGAUGGUUUGGCACCUCGAUGUCGGCUCGUCGCAUCCUGGGGCUGGAGCAGGUCCCAAGGGUUCGGCUGUUCGCCGAUUAAAGCGGCACGCGAGCUGGGUUCAGAACGUCGUGAGACAGUUUGGUCUCUAUCCUCUGCGCUCGUUGGAAU
rnacentral:rRNA from 1 species